rnacentral:rRNA from 1 species
AGUGAACGCUGGCGGUAGGCUUAACACAUGCAAGUCGAACGGCAGCACAGUAAGAGCUUGCUCUUACGGGUGGCGAGUGGCGGACGGGUGAGGAAUACAUCGGAAUCUACUUUUUCGUGGGGGAUAACGUAGGGAAACUUACGCUAAUACCGCAUACGACCUACGGGUGAAAGCAGGGGAUCUUCGGACCUUGCGCGACUGAAUGAGCCGAUGUUGGAUUAGCUAGUUGGCGGGGUAAAGGCCCACCAAGGGGACGAUCCGUGGCUGGUCUGAGAGGAUGAUCAGCGACACUGGAAGUGAGACGCGGUCCAGAGUCCUACGGGAGGCAGCAGUGGGGAAUGGUGGACAAUGGGCGGAAGCCUGAUCCAGCCAUACCGCGUGGGUGAAGAAGGCCUUCGGGUUGUAAAGCCGUUUUGUUGGGAAAGAAAAGCAGCAGGUUAAUACCCCGCUGUUCUGACGGUACCCAAAGAAUAAGCACCGGCUAACUACGUG